rnacentral:rRNA from 1 species
CCUACGGGAGGCAGCAGUGAGGAAUAUUGGUCAAUGGGCGCGAGCCUGAACCAGCCAAGUAGCGUGAAGGAUGACUGCCCUACGGGUUGUAAACUUCUUUUAUAAAGGAAUAAAGUGAGGCACGUGUGCCUUUUUGUAUGUACUUUAUGAAUAAGGAUCGGCUAACUCCGUGCCAGCAGCCGCGGUAAUACGGAGGAUCCGAGCGUUAUCCGGAUUUAUUGGGUUUAAAGGGAGCGUAGAUGGGUGUUUAAGUCAGUUAUGAAAGUUUGCGGCUCAAACGUAAAAUUGCAAUUGAUACUGGCAGGCUUGAGUACAGGUGAGGUAGGCGGAAUUCGAGGUGUAGCGGUGAAAUGCUUAGAUAUCACGAAGAACUCCGAUUGCGAAGGCAGCUUACUAAACUGCCACUGACAUUGAUGCUCGAAAGUGUGGGUAUCAAACAGGAUUAGAUACCCGGGUAGUC